GAGACACGGUCCAGACUCCUACGGGAGGCAGCAGUGGGGAAUAUUGGACAAUGGGCGCAAGCCUGAUCCAGCUAUGCCGCGUGAGUGAGGAAGGCCUUAGGUCCUGCAAACUCUUUCAGUAGGGAAGAUAAUGACGGUACCUACAGAAGAAGUCCCGGCAAACUCCGUGCCAGCAGCCGCGGUAAUACGGAGGGGGCAAGCGUUGUUCGGAAUUAUUGGGCGUAAAGGGCAUGUAGGCGGUUUGGUAAGUUAAAGGUGAAAUACCAGGGCUUAACCCUGGGGCGGCUUUUAAUACUGCAGGACUAGAGUGUCGGAAGAGGAUAGCGGAAUUCCUAGUGUAGAGGUGAAAUCGUAGA
rnacentral:rRNA from 1 species